GCCAAAAAGAACUAAGUUUAGACUGGUUUUAGAGGUAGCCGAAAUUACUUCAUGCCAAAUUAAAAUACGUUUAGGCAAAUUAAAACACAAAUUAAAAUACCUUUAGGUAAAUUAAAACACGUUGAAACAAAGAAAUUAAAAUAGGUUUAAGUUCGCCAAAAGGAACUGUGUUUAGACUGGUUUUAGAGGUAGCCGAAUACUUCGUGACAAAUUAGCGCGCAAAUGUCUGUGUGUGUGUGUGUGUGUGUGUGUGUCUGGAAGUAAGUUGAUUUUACAGCACAAUACGCUGCUAAACUACAUGAUGGAGAAGCUAUAUUGAAUAUGAAAGUGCAAGUCUUUGCCACUGUGGGCAAAGCACGCAACCACUGUGUGAGGUUGCGUUGCGGUCUCUUCUGAGCUGAUGAGCAAGCUACACAUUAUCAGAUCGGGAGCUGGCUGAGAACUCAUCAAAGAGAGGGAAACAGAACUAUGAUAACUCGAGUAUGUAGCGUAUCCGUGAGUUCAGCUUCUUCAGGCAGUUUUCCUGUAUCUUGACUCGUAUGUAGAGUGUUCAUAGCAUCAGCAUCAUGUUUUUGUUUAUUUGUUUUGUUGGGUUGAAAAAUAACUAUAUAAACUUGUGAUCAUACUUAUGGAUCACCAUGGCACAUAUCAUCAGCCAUAUGAUUAUUUAUGCAGAUGAAAAAAGUGAGUGUGAAUGUGUCUGACGUCACAGUGUGUGUGUGCGUUGUGUAAAAGUAAUUGCCUCCAAUUGUGAGAGCGGUGAUUCUGCAGGUCACCAUGUAAAAAAAAAAAAAAAAGAGGAAAAAAGAGGAAAAAAUUUACAUUGUAGAUGAAAAAUAAUCAUACAAAAAAGGUUUUGUGUUUAUCAGCCAAGAACAACUACAAUCUCAUUUUCUGCUUUUAAGAAAGGAGAGUUAAAAAAAAACAGAGAGAGAGAGAGAUGUGUGUUUGUUAAGCAGUAAUAAUAAUAAUGAAAAUGUCUUAGUUUGUCACUUUCAGAUGAAAAGCAGACCCAUCAUCCUGAUUGAUUGGAUGAAUGGCACUGUGUUUCCAACAAGCUGCAAAUUCACUGUGCUUGUGAAAAGAACGUUUGAGGAGACUGUUGGAGUUUGACAUUUGCCACCUUUGGAGAAAAUGGCAAGAAGAGACAGUGGAACACAGGACAAAGCUGAAGGACAACUGCCGGCUAUUGGACUGUUGAAGUGGGAGAGGACAACAGAGUGAGAGUAAGUGAGAAUGCUGCGGUUUAAUGUGGGAAAUCAAAAUUGGGUUAGCAAACCUGGGAAAAAGAAAACUGACUGCUUAAGUGAGAAAUUGUGAAGGAAUCUGAAACACUGCAAAAAGAUACAUAUACAAAAUCACACACACAAGCAGAACAUCCAUUAACCCUACUAACACAAACACAAGAGAGCUUAUGAAGAUUAGACAACAUCUUGAGCAUGUGAGUCUGUUUAUCAUCUUGUCCAAGUCACCUCGUGUGAUGCAAAGAUCAGUGGACUCAUAGCACAUUAGUUAAGAAAGGAUCAAAUAAUAGCAGAGAAGUGUGUAGGAAAGGCAGCUUUAAGAACAUGCCCUGCUGGAGAUUUACCUUUUAAAUGCCACUUUCUGUGUCUGUGAAUCUACCAGGGGGUGUUAUUCACUACCUUGUGUUGCUCACACUGUGACAAAGUGUGUAUACACCUGCGCAGCGCUAACAUUUGCAUUUUCUUUUCUCCAGCGUUACAGUUCUUCAUGUGUUUGAUUAUGUGAGUUACAGCAGGACACACUAAUGGUUAAUGUUCUUUCUACUACAGGAUUUCUGGGUUUAUGUGUGAAGAAAACUGUGUUUACAGGUUAUGAGUUGGUGAUGCUGUUACACUGUGUUUUGGGGAAAAUGUUGAAGGUUACUUUGACAUUGUGAAUAACUUGUGAGAAAUUUCCUGUGUUGAAACUAGUGUCACUUCUUUCCACAGCUAUGAAUGGCUAACUUUAUGGUCUUUUUAUAGCACCUCUGGAACCUGUCAACUUGUGACUGACCUCCAGGAUUGUCCAUGUGUGUUGCAAAUGUUUGUUUUUUCUAAGAGUGCAUGUAGAGGAUUCAGCAGAGAUGGGCAAGUAACAUGAGAAAGCACAUGAGAGAUACAGUGUUUAUGGAAUAGUUUAAUAUGGGGCUCAUUAGCUGGCCACUAUUGAGCUCCUAGUGAUAGAUGAGAGGAGUGACUUUGCUUAAGGGAAGUCACCGAUUACAUUAAUGUUAACUGAGUACAUGGGAUGAUCCAUGUUUGGGGUGAAUUAUGGCAAUAAUUGUAGUUUACUGAUUUGAGAAAACCUGCUCAUGAUACUUGUCCUGCUGGUGCUGAAUGCUUUAUUACUCUUAUUAUACAAUUGUUUACCAGUGUGAUGUUUGAUUUCACUUCCAGAUCUUGUUUUCCAGGCCAUGAUGGUGUGUAUGCAGGCUCCAGACAGAGCCAGGUUUUAAGCAAACUUAAUAUGAAAAACACACUAACAUCUUUUAUUGCAGGGAUUAUAGGUCCGGGGGUGGUGCUGCUCCAGAGGAGGAGACGCCCUGAUGUUGCCUGGGACGUGAUCUAGCUAACCUUUUUCUUUAAGACAGGAAUCUGGUUUUGAUGAGUUGACUCAUGGGAGUGUCCAUGCGUCAAGAGGAGGGGUCCAGGAUUAACAUGAAACAUCCAGGAUUAACAUGAAACAAUGUUUUCUAUGAUUUUUGCAGUGAUUUGUGUGAUUAACAGUUCAUUUACGGGUAUUGAACCUAUGCAAGUGGUGCAUCCAUGUUCGGAUGAGGCUUUGAUGGUCCAUAAAUGAAGCUCACUGAACUAAAGAAUGUGGUUUGAUGAUGGUUGACAUGUUUUCCAAAUAGAAGUUUUUCCUCCUAGCAAAGAAAUACAGGUGCAGCAGUCAGAGUAUGGCUGAAAGGCAUCUCCUGAGAAAUCUUCAGAGGCCCAGUGAGAAGUAAGAACCAUUCCAGGCAUAGCUGACAGCCCAGGCAGUGGUUGAGGUCAAAGGUCGAGCUGUUUGGGGCCCAUCAUGAGAUUAGACUUUGGAGCCACAGCAAGGACCAUGAAGCUGCGUUGGAAUGAGAGCUUGUGGAUAACAGACGGGCACCUGAAGGAUGAGGGGAGCGUGCCAAGCUCCAUCGAAAGCGCAGAGAGAGCUCGAGGAUGACAUCAUGAUUCUGUGAAAAGCACAGGAACCAGAAGCUAUGGUGGUGAUGACAGCAAUUUCCUAUGAACAACACCUAAUGCUGUGUCACUGUACUAUGCAGACGAUGACACUCUGAAGACUGCUGGGAUCAUAACAGCAGUAAGAUAACUGGACCCAGCACCCUUCCCACAGAGGGUUUUCCUGCAGAGGAUGGACAAUGGAGGAGUCAUAUGUAUCCCCCACAGGACAAGAAGGCCUGAAGUGAGGUGAUGGGGGUUGGUAGAAGCCAUAAAACUUGAGUGCUGACGAGGCCUGCAGUUUUCAAGAUAACUGAGACCCACGUUGACAAACAACAAAACCACCUGUGAUCUGGAGGGAAAUGGCGAGCAGGAGGGCAGCCAGGUGACAUGUCUGAGCUAUUGUUAUUUUCAGAAUACAGAAGAGAGGCGUCGGGCAGAGAAUGCAGGAGGGUAAGUGUUCAGCUAUUGCGUUAUUGGGGGAGCAGACCAGCGUCAGUGAAACCAAAAGAACAACAGGUUAGUUUGAAUGCUGAUCCCAAACAACAGAAACUGGAGACACAAGGAAACGUGAGGUUAACAGAAGGAGUAACAACGUAAGAGCUAAACAUGAAGCCAGCAUGGGGUAGCAGACGAUGGCAGCGGGUGGAAAUCUGAGCUGGUCUUAAAUAGAGAUCCGUUAAUUACUACUGAUGGAUCACAGUUGAGAGGAGACAGAAGUAGAAGCAGAACUCUGCUCUGGAAGGGCAGAACCUAGACACAGGAACUGCAGUGGAAAAAUCACCCCAAACAUGUGACACUCAAUCUACACACUCUAUGUCUAUGCACAGAUUUGACAGAAGAACCCAAAAUGCAGAAUAACACCUGCUAGGGCUGUUUUUUGUGGUAUUUUGGUUGUUCCUGUUUGAAUUUGUUUAAGGACCAUCCUGUGGCUUUAUGACGCACACAUGAAAAUCACACAUAGUCACAGCUGGUGGGAACUUAAAAGUAACAGAACUGUUCAGGUUGCAAAUUUUAAAGAAGAAAGAGAAAAAAAACAGUACAGCACACUUCUGCACUGGCUUCAGUUUUGGACCUUAGGGGCGAUCGUGGCUCAAGAGUUUGGAGUUCGCCUUGUAAUCAGAAGGUUACCGGUUCGAGCCCUGGCUUGGACAGUCUCGGUCGUUGUGUCCUUGGGCAAGACACUUCACCCGUUGCCUACUGGUGGUGGUCAGAGGGCCCGGUGGCGCCAGUGUCCGGCAGCCUCGCCUCUGUCAGUGCGCCCCAGGGUGGCUGUGGCUACAACGUAGCUUGCCAUCACCAGUGUGUGAAUGUGUGCGUGAAUGGGUGAAUGACUGGUGAAAGCGCCUUGGGGUCCUUAGGGACCAUAAAGGCGCUAUAUAAAUACAGGCCAUUUACCAUUUACCUAAAGGCCGUUUUAUGGUUUCUGCCGGCGUAUUCAAAACCUACUACUGUUAGGUAAAUUAUUUUACACACAUAAAAACAACUUUAAAAUAAAGUUUUAAAAAAUGAACGAGACUAAAUGAUCCAACUGGAUUAUGAUUAAUGUUAUACCUGUAUCCUUAGUUCAUGUACAGUUCUACACUUAAUACAACUGACUGUUCAGUGCAGGCAUCUGUAAUCCUGAGUCAGUUCUCCCAUUAGUAAAACUAAACUACUUUUUCUCACAGGAGUGAGAAACAAAUCUUCUCUGCCACUCUCUCUGUCUCACUCUUUCCUCCUCAUGUAUGCAGAGCUGCACUAGUGCAAUCCUAAUGACCUGUCUGUGCAACCACACAAUUAACAGUGAGGAUUAUGCCGUGUGGACAGGGAAACAUGAUUCAUGUGCAAAAUGAAAUUACAGUAAUCCCCACCCUCAUUAAAGACAGCAGUUGCCGGUUCCGAACAGCUUUACAGUUUGUUCUUGUUGUAUAAGUUGCUCUCUCUGCAUUUUACACAUAGAGAUAUUCAGUUGCAAAGAUUUAAGUGAGAUAAGAUUCUUAUAUACUUGCUUUACUUUAUUCUACUUUAUUCUACUUUCAAUGUGUUCAUUAAAGUGUAAAAUUAACAUUUUUCACUUUCAUUAUCCACACUGUGGUCUGCUCCACGCUGUCUCUUUGUCACUGGAAUAUAAUGGUUCCUGCUGUAAGUGGUCGAGAACAAAUAAUCUUAAAACCUUAUGCUCUUCAUGCACAGACCUGCAUACUUCUGGAAAACAGGUUAAAGCUUCCAGUCAGCACAAGAGAAUCAUGGAUCCCAACGGUUCUCAGUUGUGUGACGCAUGUACAGAAAGAGUUCAGAGUGUUAUUAUAGUCAUGUCAUAUGCAAUCUCUUUAAGUUUUCUGAUGUGCAGCACUGUCAGAAUUCAACUCUGUGUCCUCAUGGCAUUAGACAUCUAGCUUGCAACAUUAUAUAAUUUUUAAAAGGAAAUAUAAGCCAUGAGAAACGUUUUCUCUUAGUGUCACAGGAUAUGUGGGCAGGUAAAAUCCUAGCUAUCUAACUUGGCAACGUGUGGUCACUGCAGCUUUGUGUAAGACAUUAUAUUUCGUCAUUGGAUAGUUGUGGUUUC
ensembl:lncRNA